rnacentral:tRNA from 2 species
AGGGACUUAGGAUAACAUUAGACCAAGAACCUUCAAAGCUCUAAGCAGAAGUGAGAACCUUCUAGUCCCUG